GUACUGCUGAAGAGUCCCAAAGUAGGGCAAAACAGCUGUCCAGUAC
rfam:Trichobilharzia regenti genome assembly, scaffold: TRE_contig0000976